rnacentral:lncRNA from 10 species
CUUGUCUCGGCCUCCCAAAGUACUGGGAUUACAGGCAUGGGCCACCAUGCCUGGCCAAUUUUACUUUUUAAUCUCACUGUAAUUGUGGGCCAGGGAUUCAGGAGAGGCUUAGAUGAGUGGCUCUUGCUCAGGAUCUCUCACGUGACUGUACUCAGGAUGUUGGUUAGGGCUGCAGUCAUCUGAAUGCUUAGCUGGGGCUGGGGGUCUGCUUCCAAGAUGGCUCACUAGGGUGGUUUCUGGCAGGGCCUCCAUUCCUUGCUGGGUGUUGGCAGGAAGCCUCUCUUCCUCACCAUGCAGCUUGUGCUCUCAUGUGGGCUAACUUCCCCCAGAGCAAGCAAUCUCAGAGAGAGGGAGGAGGGAGCUGCAGCGCAUUUUAUGAUCUGCCUUCCAGAGUCACACCCAUCACUUUCACUUUAUUCUGUGCAUUAGAAGCCAAAAGCUAAGUCCAGCCCACACCCAAGGGGAGGGAAGUGAGGCUCCACCUCUUAAAGGGAGGAUUCUCAAAAAUGUGUGAGUAUAUUUAAAAAUCACCGCAGCUUUUUAAUAUUGUCCCAACAAGGCUGUGCAAGAAACAAUCAGGAAAGCUCAGCAGCAUAAAACUAUGAGAAAACUGGGUCUGAGAAUCCAGAUGUCCUGAGUGAGUAAAGGGAAAAUUUUCACUUCUUCCUAUGGAAGCCUGUCACCCCCCAACUCCAUCCUAGGCUGAGGAAGUCUGCGUUCUUCUCUCACGGAGCUGGAGAACCUUUCAAGUGAUUGGCCUAAGAACAGGCAGGAGACGCGAUCUGGACCAAUCAGAAACUUACAUUGAGGUAUGUAUAUGUGCGUGUUGGGAGAAAAAAAUUACUUUAUUUUUCCUUCCAGUUUGCAAAGCUGGGCUAAGAGCAGAGUUUGUCACAACCAAACCUAGAGCUGGAGAAAAGGGGAAGUGGAGAGGCAACCGAAAAUACCAUGAGGUCUCUGAAUCUACACCUCUUCUUUCUAGUUAUUGGAAUCAAUGCAUUCCAGCUUUUUGCUUCAACCAGAAUGAGUUUUGUAUCCCUGGUAACCCUGCCUAAUGCAAGGACUCACUCAGAUUUCCAGAUUCUUAUCUUAGUGUGUUGUCCUUUAGGUCAGCACUUUUCAAGAGCCAUUGCCAUCAUUUAUUCAUUCGUCAAAAUUAUUUUGGACAGAUUCCGGGGUGAAGCGGUCAUGCUAAGAGAAUAACAAACAAGCAUGUGGCCAGUGUUAUGAGGGCUUCAGAUCCAGUCAGGGGUGCAAAAUGAGAAAAAGCUAAUCAAGAAAAUAAAACAGCUGGGCGCAGUGGCUCACACCUGUAAUCCCAGCACUUUGGGAGGCCGAGGCAGGCAGAUUGCUUGAGCCCAUGAGCUCGAGACUAGUCUGGGCAAUAUGGUGAAACUCUGUCUCUACAAAAUAACACACACAAAUUAGCCAGGCAUUGGCCGGGCGUAAUCGCUCAUGCCUGUAAUCCCAGCACUUUGGGAGGCUGAGGCAGGCAGAUCAACUGAGGUCAGGAGUUCAAGAACAGCCUGACCGACCUGAUGAAAACCCAUCUCUACUAAAAAUACAAAAUUAGCUGGGUAUGGUGGUACAUGCCUGUAAUCCCAGCUACUUGGGAGGCUGAGGCAGGAGAAUUGCUUGAAUUUGGGAGGUGGAGAUUGCAGUGAGCCAAGAUUGCGCCACCGCACUGCAGCCUGAGCGACAAGAGCGAAACUC